GGGCCUGUAGUCCAGUGGUAGAAUGUCCGCUUAGCAUGGUCAAGCAUGCAAACUGCGGGAGGUCCAGGGUUCGAUUCCCUGCAGGUCCA